GGACACGGCUCCGCGUCCUGUCCAGGCGGGACGUCCCUCAUGCCCCUCCAGAGCUCCAGAGCGUAUCCCAGAGCAAAGCCGCGACGGGGGGAGCCGGAGGAGGGAGGGCAGGGAAAGGCACUUGGUUUCCUGAGGUCCCGGGAGCAGCUGAAGCGACCUGUUGCACUCGCCGCUCGUCGGAAGGGCUCUCCCGGAUCCACUGGCCGCAGGGUUGAGGCUGCUCUGCUCGGGGACCCGUCUCCCCCACAGCAGGGCAUAAAAACAAGACACAAACCCCAAAUCAACAGAGGAAAAACCUCCCCGCUAACAUCCGAGACACAGCACCUCCCCUUCUCCGGCACCGGCCUCCCGAAAGUAAUUGAAUCGUGUUGGACAGCAAAGUGCGAGUGAAAAAGGGGGGGAGUAUCGUAAGGAGAGCCCGGGAAGACACCGAGGACAGCGAAGGCAGCCCUCAUCCCGGGAGCAGCGGCCAUGGCGAGGUGCACCCACACCAACCUGAAUCUCUCCUUUCUCCUCCGAAAACACCGGCUCCGGGAGCUCAGCCUGGACAGAGGACGGGGUGGGGGAUGCUCCUCCCGACCCCGCCGGGGAGCGAGCCCAGCCCGCAGCCGCGCAUCCUCCGCGGGGCGUCUGUCUGUCUGUCCGUGUCCCUCACGGAGCGGAGCGGAGCGCCGCCUCUGCCGGCCCUGGGGCCGCCCGAGCUGCAAGUGGCCCCACGGGCGCAGGCCGGCCACUGCCAAAAAUUACUUUAGAGAAAGCAAAAAACAAACAAAAAAAAGCUAUUUAUGUGUCAGUGAGCCGGCGGAAAUCAGCCGCGUUGAGCUUCUCCCCAGCCGGGCGGCGCUGGGGCAGGGAGAACUGGAAAGCAACAGUGAGAAGGAUAACCAAGCCUGAACUCCCCGCAGAGAAUCAGAAGCCCGAUUUAUCUAAAGGUUCUUGCGGCUCGCCUUGCGGGCCGGCAGGGUGGGGACACUCAGGGGUGAGCUCGGUAACUCAGACCGGCCGGGGAACCCCGACACCGGGAAGGUGAAUCACCCCCAGGACCGUCUCUUCCCUACUUUCUCGUUGGGAAGAGGUCCUUGGCUAUGGGGUUUAUAGCCAUGAGAAAGCUGCCGGUGGAGGGAAAGGGAGGCGGGCAGGGCUUUGCCCCAUGUGCUGCCCGCGCUGUGACACACGGGGAGGGACCCGGCGCGUCCAUCGGAAACAAUUGCGGGCGCGCAGAGCUCCGCGAUGACUCCCUCGGAGCCACCUGCCAGAGCCACUGCCGAGCUGUGAACCAGACGGUGUGACACAGAGGAGCGGGGACAUGUCUGAGGGCUAGAAGACAGUUUUGUCUGAGGAGAGGAGGUGCCUCAGCUCCAGCUUCCCUUUGCACAGGGAGGAGGCAGGCGGCAGGGUGAGACACAGCUGGCACCUCAGGGAUGGCAGCAGCUCAGGGUGCGGCGAUUCCUGUCCCCUGCAAGGGCCGGGUGUGCCCUCAAGGCUGCCAGGGAAAGGCGUCCUCUAAACACCCGGGCCAGGGAAGUCGAAUUCACCCCCGAAGUGCUGUCACCAAAUGCCCCGGGAAGGGGAAAAGGAGCGUCCCACAACACCGGGCUCUGCUGCGCCCCCAGCCCAUGCCCUCUUCCCCUAGGCUAAAAAAAAGAACAGGGCUGAGCCCGGUGCGAGUCAGGGCUGCCCACAGCCCCGAGAGCCUGGCUCACGCCCCGCCGGCCGGCUGUGCUCGGGCCGCCUCGCUGCCAAGCGCCGCGGGGCACAGCCGGGCUGCGGGUCCGGAGCCCGGAGAUUUAACCCCUUGUGGGGAGCGAUGGAGUUCGGCAGAAGGGAGAGAUCCUACGGGAGAAGUGUGGCACCCAACUUUCGCGGAAGGCCAACUUUAAAUCGAAUUAAUUCC